GACAGGAGGCUCAGAUGCUCAAGGUGCUGGUAAGGUCAAAAAGGUGAUUCUUGCACCUCAUCUAAGAGUUACUAUCCAAACCCGCCAAACCGAAUUCUGACUUGAAAUGUGGAUAUGUAAGAAGUGGGUAAGUGAGAAAUAUUAGGAAUUUUUAUGCCAUUUUAGAGGAAAAAUAGGGUGUUUUAUUGUUGGGUGUAAAAUUGAAAGGGAUGUUCU
rnacentral:lncRNA from 1 species